rnacentral:rRNA from 1 species
GACGAACGCUGGCGGCGUGCUUAACACAUGCAAGUCGAACGGACUUAUCUUAUGAAGCUUGCUUCGCGAGAUAAGUUAGUGGCGGACGGGUGAGUAACGCGUGGGUAACCUGCCGUAUGCUGGGGGACAACAGUUGGAAACGACUGCUAAUACCGCAUAAGCGCACAGUUUCGCAUGGAACGGUGUGAAAAACUCCGGUGGCAUACGAUGGACCCGCGUCUGAUUAGCUAGUUGGUGAGGUAACGGCCCACCAAGGCGACGAUCAGUAGCCGGCCUGAGAGGGUGAACGGCCACAUUGGGACUGAGACACGGCCCAA